rnacentral:rRNA from 1 species
GAUGAACGCUGGCGGCGUGCCUAAUACAUGCAAGUCGAGCGAACAGACGAGGAGCUUGCUCCUCUGACGUUAGCGGCGGACGGGUGAGUAACACGUGGAUAACCUACCUAUAAGACUGGGAUAACUUCGGGACACCGGAGCUAAUACCGGAUAAUAUAUUGAACCGCAUGGUUCAAUAGUGAAAGACGGUUUUGCUGUCACUUAUAGAUGGAUCCGCGCCGCAUUAGCUAGUUGGUAAGGUAACGGCUUACCAAGGCAACGAUGCGUAGCCGACCUGAGAGGGUGAUCGGCCACACUGGAACUGAGACACGGUCCAGACUCCUACGGGAGGCAGCAGUAGGGAAUCUUCCGCAAUGGGCGAAAGCCUGACGGAGCAACGCCGCGUGAGUGAUGAAGGUCUUGGGAUCGUAAAACUCUGUUAUUAGGGAAGAACAAAUGUGUAAGUAACUAUGCACGUCUUGACGGUACCUAAUCAGAAAGCCACGGCUAACUACGUG